UAUGUAGGCUGCUUUUUUAAGUCUAAAUCAAAGAAUCUAAGCCUAACUUAGAAAUUGAUUUUGAUACUGGGAAGCUUCGAGGUCGGUAGAGGUUAGUUAUAUUCUUGGAGUAAAAGUAAAAUCUUUAGAUAUCGAGAGGAUAACCACGAGGUUAAUGCGACUUUCUGGAUCGAUGCUGACGCUGAGGUACGAAGGCAUGGGUAAGUCAAACG
rnacentral:rRNA from 1 species